UACGUAGGGGGCGAGCGUUGUCCGGAUUCAUUGGGCGUAAAGCGCGCGUAGGCGGCCUGGUAAGUCGGCCGUGAAAUCUCCGGGCUCAACUCGGAGGGGUCGGGCGAGACUGCGAGGCUCGAGGUGGGCAGAGGGCAGUGGAAUUCCGGGUGUAGUGGUGGAAUGCGUAGAGAUCCGGAGGAACACCAGUGGCGAAGGCGGCUGCCUGGGCCUGGCCUGACGCUGAGGCGCGAAAGCGUGGGGAG
rnacentral:rRNA from 1 species